CCCUUAGAUGUUCUGGGCCGCACGCGCGCUACACUGACGAAGUCAGCGAGCAUGUCCUACGCCGACAGGUGCGGGGAAUCUUGUCAAACUUCGUCGUGAUGGGGAUUGAUUAUUGAAAUUCUUGAUCAUCAACGAGGAAUUCCUAGUAAGCGCAAGUCAGCAGCUUGCGUUGAUUACGUCCCUGCCCUUUGUACGCACCGCCCGUCGCUACUACCGAUUGAAUGGUUUAGUGAGAUCUUCGGAUUGGCGCCACUGCGGCUCAGCAAUGGGCUCGGUGGAUGCCGAAAAGUUGAUCAAACUUGAUCAUUUAGAGGAAGUAAAAGUCGUAACA
rnacentral:rRNA from 1 species